rnacentral:rRNA from 1 species
AGAGUUUGAUCCUGGCUCAGAUUGAACGCUGGCGGCAGGCCUAACACAUGCAAGUCGAACGGUAACAGGAAGCAGCUUGUUGCUUCGCUGACGAGUGGCGGACGGGUGAGUAAUGUCUGGGAAACUGCCUGAUGGAGGGGGAUAACUACUGGAAACGGUAGCUAAUACCGCAUAACGUCGCAAGAACAAAGAGGGGGAACUUCGGGCCUCUUGCCAUCGGAUGUGCCCAGAUGGGAUUAGCUAGUAGGUGGGGUAACGGCUCACCUAGGCGACGAUCCCUAGCUGGUCUGAGAGGAUGACCAGCCACACUGGAACUGAGACACGGUCCAGACUCCUACGGGAGGCAGCAGUGGGGAAUAUUGCACAAUGGGCGCAAGCCUGAU